UCUGGUUGAUCCUGCCAGUAGUGAUAUGCUUGUUUCAAAGAUUAAGCCAUGCAUGUCUAAGUAUAAGCGAACUUAUACAGUGAAACUGCGGAUGGCUCAUUAAAACAGUUUGAAUUUAUUUGAUGAAUGUAUGAGAAUACUACUUGGAUAACCGUAGUAAUUCUAGAGCUAAUACAUGCAACGACGCCCGACCGUUUCACUACGGAAGGGCUGUAUUUAUUGGAUACCAAAACCAUCCUUCCCUCGGGAAGUUUUGUUUGAUGAUUCACAAUAACUGAUCGGAUCGCCACUGUGGUGGCGACAGGUCAUUCAACAUUCUGCCCUAUCAGCUUUCGAUGGUCGUGUAGUGGACAACCAUGGCCAUAACGGGUAACGGAGAAUCAGGGUUCGAUUCCGGAGAAGGAGCUUGAGAAUUGGCUACUACAUCUAAGGAAGGCAGCAGGCGCGCAAAUUACCCAAUCCCGAUUCGGGGAGGUAGUGACAAAAAAUAACAAUACCGGGCCUUUUUGGGCUUGGUAAUUGGAAUGAGGGAGAGUUAAACGGACCAUCGAGUAUCCAUUGGAGGGCAAGUCUGGUGCCAGCAGCUGCGGUAAUACCAGCUCCAAUAGCGUAUAUUAAAGUUGUUGCAGUUAAAAAGCUCGUAGUUGGACUUGUGUGCGCUGUCCGCGGGUGGCCUGCGCCCAAAAGGGCGUUUCGGUUCGGCCCCGGUGGCGCCUUGAAAUCUGCAGCUGGGGGGACGUUGGCCUUAACUGGUCGGCGACCGCACGCCGGCUGCUCGGUUACUGUGAGAAAAUUAGAGUGUUCAAGGCAGGCAUUGGGUGCAAUUGAAUACAUUAGCAUGGAAUAAUAAAAUAUGGCUCCUGCCGUAUUUUGUUGGUUUUGACUGGUGGGAGUAAUGAUUGAUAGGGACGGUUGGGGGUGCUAGUAUUGAGCGGCCAGAGGUGAAAUUCAUGGAUUCGCUCAAGACUAACUUAUGCGAAAGCAUUCACCAAGGACGUCCUCUUUAAUCAAGAACGAAAGUUGGGGGAUCGAAGACGAUCAGAUACCGUCGUAGUCUCAACCAUAAACUAUGUCGACUUGGGAUCGGCGGUAGUUUUUUCAUUAAGACACUGUCGGGACCACGGGAGAAAUCAAAGUGUCUGGACUCUGGGGGAAGUACGGUCGCAAGGCUGAAACUUGAAGGAAUUGACGGAAGGGCACCACCAGGAGUGGAGCCUGCG
rnacentral:rRNA from 1 species